rnacentral:tRNA from 1 species
CAGAAAAUAGUUUAACAAAACACCAUACUGAUAAUAUGAUACUGUAGAUAAUAAUUCUACUUUUCUAA